AGAUUCAUUCCAGUUGGAGCUCCACUGGAGCCAACAGCUCUAGUUUUCUAAAUUGUUGUAUAAAUUUCAAAAUUUGUUCUGCUUUUUCUCUUUGUUUAUUUCUGUUGAGAGAAACAAAUAAAAUCAAAAAGUCCAAAAAUUCAAUUUGUUUCAAAGUUUCAAUGUUUCUAUUCAAUCAAUGUGAAAAUUUCAAAAAGUGUUGCAAAAUUACGUUCAGAAGCGGUUUGUAUGUUCGUGUGAAUGGGUGUGAACACAAUGAUGUUGUCACAGAUGCUCUUUGUACACGGCGCAAAAUUUUAAAUGCUCAAACAGAAGUCCAGAUCAAAAGUUUUACGCGUUUCUAUUUAUUUCUAACAACCAAAUAAUCGUAUUUCGUAACCAAGAAGGGAUUUGAUGUGAUUGUUUAUUUCACAAUUCUUAACUUUCAAUGUAUAUUCGCCCAGAGAAUCGGAAACUCUUGGAAUAGAUUGCCCAGUCAAGGGGUAAGUCCAUCCAGACAGAUCUCUCGAGCGAUCCCUCCGAUCCGUCUGGUAAUACUCCCCAUUCUGAGCACCUGCUCAUCUCGGGGAGAUGAGGACUCGUUGUCCUUUACAAUUUGCAAGACUCUCAAUGUUUGUCACAAGUUAUGUUCUGAUCAUUCAAUUCAACAACCAAAAAAUAAAUCAGAAAUUCAAAAUUGUAAUUCGAAAAGCAAUUCUCUAAGCUCGACUUUGAGCUUCAUCUGAACGGAAAAAAUCGUAACAAGAAAUUAAUAAAAAAUACAUGAAUCAUAUCGUCACGGAAGAAGGCGAGGCCAAGCAACUCUCGAUGCGGAAGAUUCUACUCGAAAUUUAAUUUUAACAGCUGGCCUAACU